ACAACGGUGGCUUUUCAGGCCGCAAUCCUUGGAAAAAAGCCAAGCAGGAACU
rnacentral:tRNA from 1 species